rnacentral:lncRNA from 1 species
CUUUAAGAAAAAAUAUUUUAAUUACUUUUGUAAAUGAGUCCCGUAUUACAUAUUCUUGCUAGUGAGUGCUGACAGAGAAGGCAUAUUUGCAUUCUUUUCCCGUCAGUUCUCUAAAGUCCUCACUAAAUACCCAGAAUAUUCCAGAUUCAGUAGUCUAUAACUGCAAAGUACUAUUUUAUUUUAUUUUGUAUUAAAAAUGUAGAGGAUUUCUAGGCUCAUUGUAUGGACUAUCAGAAAUUGAUGCUUCUUCAGUAUUACCCAGUAGACUUUUUGGAAUCCCCAAGGAAUAUACCUAUACAAAUAGCUCUUUUCUUAUUGAAUUGCUCCUGCAGCCAUGUUCUGAACCACCGCUUCUUCAGAGCCAGGAAAGUGUCCUCCCAGCACCUCAUGAUGCAUGUUGUACUCCUCUCAGGUUUGACACCAUUCUGUCUCAUAAUUCCCAAGGUAAAAUUAAGAACAGCCUCUUGUAUUUAACAAAAUGUAUUGGUGAGAAUCUAGAGAAGAUGUUCAAGUGACUUCCAAUGGAAAGAAAAUUAGAUUGUCAUCAGACUUUUCAAAAAGUAAUAUACAAUAUACUUAAGAUACUCAAAGAAGUAAUUAAGUAAUAUACUUAAGAUACUCAAAGAAAAAUAAGGUGAGCCAAAAGUUUUAUAACCAGCCAAACUGGCUUUCAAAACUAAAGGCUGUAGACAAAUCAUUAUCAACAUCUGAGAAUUCAGAGACUCUUUUCCCCUUAAUCCUUUGCUGUGAAAUCUGCUGGAGAACAAACUUCAGACAUUCUUCAAAUAGAGAUAGUUACAUGAAUACACGUAACGAGCAUGAAAUUCAUAGCCACUUACAGAGCUAAGUUGAGGUUAAAGUUUAAAAGACAAGCUUAUAGUGCAUAAUAGUUAUAUGCUCUGAUAAUAUAAUUAUAGAAUCACUAAAAAUGCAAAUAGAAUGGGUAGAGCAUAUACAUAGUUUUGAAAUUGUUUUCAGUAAUCCUUUGGUGGAGGGUAUUGAUAUAGGUAUUGUGAGACAACGAUUAUGUACAUAAUGAAGAAGAAAACAAAUGAUAGUUGUGGCCUAUUCUAACUCUAUAAUACAUUGUCUACCUGAGAACCAAGAUUCAUAAUAUGGAGGAAAGAAGAUACAGAUUAAACAGAAGAGGUUAAGUAAAAACUCACUUGUCCUGAAGUUGAAUUGGAUGAGGUUAUCAUUCAUAUUUAUACUUAUGAAUAUAUAGGUAAGUGUUCAUGGGUAUUCAAGAUGUCCUCAUUUCAAGGUGGCAAUCUAGGUACUGGGAAUCUCUCUCAGUUCUGGACAUGUUCACUGAAAAUUUUUGGAAACAAGCGUUCAACUCAGUAACAGAAAGCAUCCCUAACACCCAGAAUAUUAUUUGAAAUGAAGGUUUCUUGGUGAUACAACUAAUUUUGAGGCAAAAGCAGGAAAUAUACAAAUUGAUCACAGAAUGUGUUGUUAUAUCCCAAGAAUCAUGCCAAAAGCCAUCAAUUUAAAGGAACUUCCUAUUCAUCUAUUGAAGGGCACCUAGGUUGGUUCCACAGUUGAGCUGUUGUGAAUUGUGCUGCUAUAAACAUUGAUGUGGUUGUGUUCCUGUAGUAUACUGUUUUUAAGUCCAUUGGGUAUAGACUGAGAAGAGAGAUAUACCUGGGUCAAAUUGUGGUUCCAUUCCAAAUUUUCCAAGAAAUCUCCAUAGGAAUGGAUGAAAAAAAGGUGGCAUAUAUACAUAAUGGAAUAGUACUCAGCAAUAAAAGAGAAUAAAAUCAUGGAAUUUGCAGGUAAAUGGAUGGAGUUAGAGAAGAUAAUGCUAAGUGAAGUUAGCUAAUCCCCCAAAACCAAAUGCAGAAGUUUUCUUUGAUAUAAGGAGGCUGAUUCAUAGUUGGAUAGGGAGCGGAAGCAUGGGAGGAAUAGAUGAACUCUAGAUAGGGCAGAGGAAUUGGAGGGGAAGGGAGGAGGCAUGGGGUUAUUAAUGAUGGUGGAAUGUGAUGAUCAUUAUUAUCCAAAGUACAGGUAUAAAGACAUGAAUUGGUGUGAAUAUACUGUGUAUACAACCAGUGAUAUGAAAAAUUGUGUUCUAUAUGUGUAAUACGAAUUGUAAUGCAUUCUGCUGUCAUAUAUAAAUUAACAGUAAAUAAAAAAAUUUAAAAAAAAACAAAGGUCCUUUCUAUGGCCAGAAUGGAGCCAUUCAAGUUUUAAUAAAGAGCUGGGCACAGUGGCACAUACCUGUAAUCCCAGUGACUCAGAAUGCUGAGGCAUGAGGAUGGUGAGUUCAAAGCCAGCCUUAGCAAUUUAGAGAAGUUCCAAGUAACUCAGUGAGACCUGUCUCCAGAUGAAAUAUAAAAAAGGGUUGAGGAUGUGGCUCAGUGGUUAAGCACCCUGGGUACAAAACAAAAAGUUUAAUGAAGACAUUAAAAGCAAUGGAUUGAUACAUAUCAAAUAUAUUUAAAUCCAUAAAUUUAUAGUAAUUUAAAAAAAUGAUUGGUCAUAUUUGGAGAAGGAUUUGGGAACCAACUCAUUAUUAUGAAAACUAAUAAAGGGGAAAAUCAAUUACUCAUUAGGUCUCCCUAUAUGAAUUUUAUUUCAGUAACCAAAUAGUAGAUGAGUAAAGUGACCCUUCAUAGAAAGAUUUCAGUUAAUUAAGAAUGAAUGAAAUCUCCACCUUACAGCUCCUAUUCAAACCACAGAUCUAAACACUGAGCAGCAGUAGCUGCCAACCUUACCAAAGGAAAGGCAACCAGUCUAGGCUUCCUGAUGAAACAACACAGUAUCACCAAUGGUCUUAUCAAAGCAAAUAAACCUGAAUCAGAUGGAACUACCAAUUGACAGGGAACGCAGAGGACAGAGGAACACGUUAAACUCCACCACAGAGAAGCUCUGACGAUCCAACAUUUCAACAAAUACCUUGCAAAGGAUAAAAGGGACAUGGGGCAAAACUUGAGAUUAAAAGACAAAUUUUAAAACAAUCAAAAUUAAACUACAGUGUUUUGGGGUGCUCAAUUGAAUGGUAAAACUACUUGUUAAAAAGGGAAGUGACUUCAAUAAAAUUAGGAUAAUGGUUUCUUUUAGGGAAGAGGGUCCCAGCAUGUGAAGGGCUUCUUAGGUAGCUAGCAAAGUUCUGUUUCUUGACUUGGUGGUGAUUACAAGAGGAAAUGCCUCUAAUGAUUCAGUGAAGUAGAAUUUUGUAUCAUGGAGUUGUCUGUAUUUAUGCUUCAUUUCAUAGUGAAAAAUAUUUUUAAAAAUCAUCUGAACAUGCUUAGGGAAUAAUAGUACCACCAUUCAAACUAUGACUAAGUGCUAUUAAAACUAAUUAACUUUCAAGAUCACAAGCCAACACCUAAAUCUCGGCAUUCUUGUCCAGCUCCUACUGGGUUUUAAGAAAUAAAAACUAGUUUGAGUCCCACACAACCAAAUAACCAAGCCUCUUUAACCUUCCACCUCCUGUUCUUUCAUGUCAGCAAGAGGAAGUAGUCUGUCCUUUCCCUGGAAAAAAGCCUACUCAUUCAUCCUUGCCCUGGAAUGAUUGACACUGGGAACAUCCAGUCCCUUUUUGAAAAAUAUCCACUUCCAUUUACAAGGUGGAAUCUGGCUUCAGGGUAUCAGAAAAAAAAAAAGAUAAUAAUAAUGGCUGUUGAUGUAUUUCCCCACAUCUGGGUCAUUCAAUAUAAACAACAGCAUGUGAGAGAUGCCAUCACUUGAGUCCAAUCAUAUACUUAAGAAAAAUCAUUUAUUUACCUGUUCAAAAGAAUAUUCAGACUAAAGCUAACUUUAUGUCGUAACCAAAGCAUUAUCUUUCUAUUCUGAAAUGCAUAUUAAGAUGUUUAAUGCACUGCUUCUCCUUUAAAAUAACUCCCCGUUGGGGAUUUCCCUCCCUCAAAUCCUAUCUUGAGAUUUUCUGAAAAUAAGUUCUCAGAACAAAGGAAAUCUCAAAUUUUAUAAGUAAGAAACUCUAACAGCCCUCAGAAGAGAGUUUCCUCCAUUCACUCCUAUAGUCGCAAACUGGAUAAAGUCCUAAGUUUUAUCUUUAUCAGGUACUCAUUUUAACUAAUCCCAGUCAUCGAUUUGAAAAAAUUUCUAUCAUUUAGCCCUUAGCUCUGUGUAUAAAUCUUGUAACCUCCUCUAAUUUUCCCAGAGUAAUUAUGACAUGGUGUGAAUCCAUCCUACAGGAAACAUUUUCCCCUUUGUUUGUUCUCACCCUUUACCAUUGUCUGUGAUAGAAACCACAAGCUGGCCACAACAUCCACUCUUUUUUCUCCUUCCUGGAGCCGAGGCUGAAGUAGAUUUUUCUAUUUUUGUUGCACUUAUUCCAGGGGACUAAGUUCUCACCAAUGGAAACUCAACAAAAAAAUUCUCCACUUACAGAAUUUGCCCAUUAAAACCUCCCACUCAUGCUGUCCAGCUCUUUCCUCUUUUUGGCCAGCUGGACUUGUGACCUGAAGGAAACCUUGGCAACUGAGGAUGGAACAUGGCAAAUUCACUGUCCCAUUCCAAUCCCUGAAGACCACAGUGUGCUGCUGCUGACCUGAACUGCCUCCUUGAGAGAGAAAUACACUGAUAUUUCAGCUGUUGACUUUUUAAGGGUUUCUUUGCUUGUUACCUUCCUAAUCAAUAUGGGAAGAGGCACCUAAAAGAGAAUACCAUAAACACACACACACACACACACACACACACACCUGAAGAACACAGUGUUGGCUUCUUGUGUGGCCUGAAGGCAGAUAGGAGAUGGCUAUCAAAGGCUAGAAAGCCAGAGCCCCAAGUUAACCAUGAAAAACACUUUUAAAACACUUCAUCUCUGAUAGCUUGGAAAGUAGACCAAGAACUUACUGAGUCUGAAGCUCUAGGGAACAUAGCUGGUAAGAGUAGGAAUGCUAGUGUGCGAGGUUGAAAGCUGUGGCUUUUAGCCCAGUAAUGCAAAAAAGAGACGAGCUCAGGCAAAAAUUAACUAGAUUGUCUACUGAAACAGAACAAUCACUAAAAUAAUAAUAAUGGGACAGCCACAAUAAUAAUGAUGAUAACAAUCACAAGAAUAGUAAUAAUUCUUCAAGACUGCUCUGGGCUGGGAAAAAAAAAAAAACACUGAUGGUUUGUAUAGCUCAAACAGUAGAAGAUAAGAUUUAUAGGUUCAAAGAAUAAAAGGAGAUCCAGCCCAGUGGCAAAGAUAAAUAUCAAGAGCGUUGGCACCCAAGCCUGUUUCAGACGUCAGUGAUGGUUUGAUCAAGGAAGACAAACCUCAGAAAAGAUCAAGAAAAUACUUUGGGGUUUAUUUGCUAGCACAUGAAACAGAAUGGAAAUAAGUAGGUCAGAAGCCCAUCAUAUUUUUGAAAAAACAGUAGUGCCCCAGGAAACCACAAGCUUGAAUCUGUAAAUCACCCUCAUGCAACAGCAGAGAGUGAGCUCUGAAAGGUGUUAGCUCCUAAACCCACAUUUCCCCAUGUCCACCUCUUAUGUGGCCAUGGAGAAUAGCGGACAAGAUUGUUCUCCAGGAGGACAGAGUCAAGGGCUACAGAGAAUGCAGGCAAGGAAGUACCUUGCUCAGGACGACACUCGGUACAUUGACAUUUUAUUCUAGGGUUUGGAGGGUCUUUGCAAUACCUGCCCAGCAGGAGUUCAGUGCUAUGGCCCAGGACUGCUGUGGGCAUUUCUAUUCUUGUCCGCUUUUGUAUAUUGGGUAGGCAGUUGGGCCCGGAUAACUUGUCUUUUAGUUCACAGGGUGCCAGAUCUUGAGGAACCACGUCUGGACCUCAAGAAGAGAUCUGAACACCAUCUGGAGACCCCAGACUUUGAUAUAGAUAUAAUAACUGGAGACAUUUUUUUUUUCAUGAGAAAUAGGCGAAUAUGGCUUAAUAAGGGAUGAUAGUGGCCCAAGGGACCAACUAUGUUAGAGACGCUAGUUGUCUACCAAAAAUACAUUCUUCUCUUCUUUCUGGGCACCCAGCUGGACUGCAUUUCUCAGCCUCUCCUGCAGGGAAGUGACUAAGUUUUCUUCAAUGGAAUAUGAUUACAGGGAUAAAUGGCACUUCUACUCUUGGCCCAUAACAGUCUCUCAUACUUGUCCCAGUAUGUCCCUACCUUUUACUUGCUAACAGAAGUGGCAAAGCCUGGAAUGACCUCUGGGUACCACAAGCCAAGAAUGACACAGCCAUCAUCACCUGGGUCUUUAAUUGACUGUGAAGGAGCUCUCCUAUCAGUCCAAAUCCUAUUAUAAUGACUUCUGAUUUUUUAAGCCACAGAAAUUUGGAUUUUAUUUUAACAGCAGUGUAGCAUAAUCUAAUAGAUCCCAUUAAAAAAUAGCAAUUCCUUUUUUUUUUAACAGAAUUAACUGUUUCAAGAAAGGCUACAGUUCACACAUUGAAUUGAAAACCUUGACAUUGUCCCUAUUGGCCAGAUGAGAUUGCGUGAUCCCUUCUCAAGACUCCUACCUGGAAUAACUACAAUCCUAAUCAUUUUACUCCUCUUUUGCCUCUUCUCUACCCCUUCCCGGACCCCUCUGUUGUGCUCUCCUGGCAAAACCCCAGCUCUGGAUUCACCCAAUCCUACCUCCUCCCAUGCUUGCAAGCUUCCCACGGCUGGUUCCACUUUAAAUUCAGGAUUGCUGACGUAGUACUGAUAGCCACAGUACUGUCCCAACAAUCUCACUGCAUUCCCUCAGUUCAUUCAUUCAUCGAAUCCCACAUACAGAUUUUCAGAUGUUUUUGUCUCUCUACAAUAAUCUCCAGUUCCUUUCCCUUCCUCCUCACUGUUAGCUGAUGAGUUUGAAUUCUACCUCAUUAAGAAAAUAGAAGCCAUCAGGGCGAGUUUCCUUUAGCUCCCACCAUCUUCUCCUCGACUGCCUACCUGCAUCUGUUCCUGUGUAAUGUGCCUUCCUUCUUGGGUGAAUUAUCUGUUUUUUCUAAAGCCAAAACCUCCAUAUGUGCACUGGGCACCAUUUCCUCUCAUCUACUGAAGGCUCUUACUCUAAAAACUCUCUCCUCUUUUUUGCACCAUCAAAAUUUCUCUCUGAAUUGGACGUUUCCCAUCAACACACAAGGCACCUGGAAAUCCUCUCAUGUUUCAAAAAGAGUCAAAAGAACUUGACUCCACCUUGCCACCAACUUGUUAGAGUAGAUGGUGGCCCGUUACAGGGAGCCCCGGGACCCUCGGGGGUAAGUGAUGAAAAAAAGCUGCCCCUCCAUAGAUAGGACGGGAGCAAAUCUGCUCGUCCCUAGGCAGAUAGGGCGAGAGGAAAAAUGGCCAUUUCGAGAAAAUGGAGAAGAUUGAUACAGUAUGUUUGUGUCUUGUUUUGUCUCAGUGUAUUGUAUUGUCUUUGUGAUGAAAACAUGGAAGGGGUGUUAAGUAAAUUGAUAAGGGAAAGAGGCACCCCAGUGGAACCAAGAAUAGUUAGGGCAUGUGUUGAUGGAAGCCCAGGAACUCUAGUCAGAAAGAAAAAGAAAGUUCAGAAGAAGAAAGAUUAUCAGGAAAAAAGUUACAGCGAAAGGCUAUUACUGAAUACUUUUCGUUACCGGAGGGUGCAUCAAUCGGCGCGGUGGCGGCUGCCACGUGCGCGAGCUGGUCAUGGCGCAGCAAGGGCUUUCCAAGCAGCUGCAAUCGGCUCUUCUCUGCCCCCCGCCCGGGGAGCGGGAUGCCACUGCGAGAGCCCAAAUCCAAACCUGUGCCGGGAAGCAGUUUGAGACCAGGACUCUCCCCAGGGCCAUCUGGGGCUGCCCAGGACGCUACAGCCAGCAAAAGACGCUACUGGCGUCCCUGGUGUUUGGUCAUUUCCAAGGCCAGUAACUACAAUGGUUCUCCCACACCUGGAAGCUAAUGAGUAAUGAGCACUAUUAAGGCUUAUUUCAAAUGUAAAAAACCUUGAGGUAAUGUACUAAAUUGUUCAGAAGGUUGUUUUCUUAGUAGAGUGCUACAGGAUUUUCUUUAGCCAUCUGGAGUUCCUGCCUUCGUCCCAGUGCCCAUAAAGACCAAGGUGGAAGAAUUUCCAGUGUUGCUGAGAACCGGAGGAGACUUCGGAUUAAGCUAGUUGCCUGCAGAACUUACCUGGACUGUGAUUUAAGCUACCUGCCUGCAGAAUUUACCUGGACUGUGAGUUAAUCUAUUUGAGACACUGCUUUACCUGGACUGAGACAACAAACUGUAAUCUACAACAAAUUGUAACUUGGUAUCUUUGCUAAUGGUGUCAUUGCUGGUAUAAUUUUUCCAAGGGCUUCUUGCAUGGAGCCAUCAAUUGGCUUGGUAUUGUGGCAUUUUGUAUCCUCCCUUUCUGUUUGUAGCAGGUUAUUUAUGGUGUUUCUGUCAAAACCACUAUGGUCGUUAUUUAAAUUAAACAAAAGGGAAAAAUGUUAGAGUCUGUAAACAAGUCAAAAUAAACGGCUUCC